rnacentral:rRNA from 1 species
UGGGGAAUAUUGCACAAUGGGCGCAAGCCUGAUGCAGCCAUGCCGCGUGUGUGAAGAAGGCCUUCGGGUUGUAAAGCACUUUCAGCGAGGAGGAAGGUGGUGAACUUAAUACGUUCAUCAAUUGACGUUACUCGCAGAAGAAGCACCGGCUAACUCCGUGCCAGCAGCCGCGGUAAUACGGAGGGUGCAAGCGUUAAUCGGAAUUACUGGGCGUAAAGCGCACGCAGGCGGUUUGUUAAGUCAGAUGUGAAAUCCCCGGGCUCAACCUGGGAACUGCAUUUGAAACUGGCAAGCUAGAGUCUCGUAGAGGGGGGUAGAAUUCCAGGUGUAGCGGUGAAAUGCGUAGAGAUCUGGAGGAAUACCGGUGGCGAAGGCGGCCCCCUGGACGAAGACUGACGCUCAGGUGCGAAAGCGUGGGGAGCAAACAGGGUUAGAUACCCUGGUAGUCCAGCGCUGUAAAACGAUGUCGAUUUUGGAGGUUGUGCCCUUGAGGCGUGGCUUCCGGAGCUAACGCGUUAAAGUCGACCGCCUGGGGAGUACGGCCGCAAGGUUAAAACGUCAAAUGAAUUGACGGGGUCAUAGCUGUUUCCU